CCCACUAAGAUUCCUUUUGCAACCCACCAGUGGGUAACGGCCCAUAGUUUGGGAACCGCUGCCAUAGGGCAUAAGGCAAAGAUAACGGUUUCUUGAAUUUUGUCACUUCUGUCUGUUUUGUCUGUGGUACCGGAUAUUUGAACAGUAAAAUGCCAUUCGAAUAAUUCAAUAUUCGAUUCGUUAUUCGAAUUUUUUUCCCAGCCCUAACAUUCAGUAUUUGCUUUUGUUGAAUUAUGUAUAUUAUGCACAAACAUUCAAAAAUGCACAACCCUGAUCUUUUUCAAUAUGGGAAUUAUAUAUAUAAAUUGAUAUGAAAUUUAAAAUUUUUACAGCUUCAAACAUUGACGAUGCCAUCGACAAACAGAAUAAACCCGGAAUCUUGUCAGAAAAUCUCACUCACCGGAAUCUUCAGAAAAAAUUGUUCCAUCUACAAAAAAACAGCUGAAACUUGUCAAGAACAAUAUACUUGGUGUCGGUGACGGCAAUCUCCUCGGAGAUUUGGCAGAUAUCGCCAUGAUUAACAAAAUCAAACCUGGGAUAUUAUGCACAUCAAGUUGAAGUAAGGAUAACUAUUUUUUUCAAAAGAUCUGAACUUCCUGUUCUGCAUUGCCUAUCCAAUUUAUUGAACAUGCAGCAUGUAAUUAUUAUUAUUUGGUUGUGAUGGCCUGCAUGGUAUGGAGGAUAAUUAAAACACUUGCAUGAUAUGAAACGAAAAACCAGCAUUUUCAUUUCUGAUAUGACAUUUAAUCCUCAAAGUAAUUAUGUGGUACGAUUCAGUAAAUAAUUUGUUUUUAGUGUGUUCAAUUGUCCUAAUUCUUGCCGUUCAAUGCUGUGAUCUGUAGACAGGGCAUGUUUGGAGAGAUUCUAAUUUCAAGUACGCUCAAAAAUACCUAACUCAAUUUAUAGUAUACCGGUAAUUGUUUUUCUCUCCAGAAAAUACGUCAGCAUCCCUGAAAACAGGGUUGUCCGAAACAAAUCGAAUAUUCGAAAGUAUUUUUGCGCUUUGUCACAUAGAAUCGGCGCUUUAAUUGUUUAUAUUCUGUGCGAGCGUGCGUCCCAUGUUGCGACACCUUGAAAAUUAUCUAUACCGAGAUUGUUAUGAUACCCAAUAAAGUGUCGCAAUUAGGAAAAAUGAUUCAUACUUUUUCCCACUUUUUGGCAAUUAAUUUUGAUGAUAAUAAGUUAAAAGUUUAGAGUUUUUACUAGGAUGAUUUUCUGUUGCGCAAAAUAUUCAUAUCAAUGACCGAUAUCAGCAUAUAAAAUUAUUUUUGUACUACAUAACUUAUGGUUGCAUCGACAAUCUAUGGACAUAAAAUGUGUGUAUAAUCUGCCCGAUAGUAUUAAUUUUUGAUUCCUAUUAUCGAAUUUACUAAAGAAUAAAAGUGUUAUUAUUCUAAAAUACUAUGGAAAUUUGCGGAAAUAAAAUGUGUGGUAAACUGCCCGAUUAUUAUUAAUUCAUGAUUCCUAUUUUUGUUUUUACUAAUAAUAAAAGUAUUAAUGGCUCUAAAAUACUACGGGAUUUGUGGACAUAAAAUGUGUGGUAAACUUCCCGGUUAUAAUUAAUUUCUGAGUCGUAUUUAAAGUUCUCGAUCAUAAUUAUUUUUUGAUUCAUAUUUACAUAAUAAUAAAAGUAUCAAUACUCCAAAAUAUAACGGCAAUUUCCGGACUCAAAGUGCCCGAAUAUACUUAAUUUUUUAUUCGUAUUUACAAAAUAAUGUGUGGUAAAGUGCCUGAAUAAAAUUGAUUUUGGAUUCAUAUUUUAGGUCUCACGAAAAAAUUAUCACAAGUCGGAAAAUAAUUUAUACUUUAUCCCGCUAUUUAGCAAAUAAUUUGGAUAAAUGUUGGUAUUAAAAAGUAUGGUUUUUUUACCAGGAUGAUUUUGUGUUGUGCAAAAUAUUCAAAUCCAGGACCGAUACUACCUUGCCGUAUUAAUUUAAUUCUGUUAACGUAACUCAUGGUUGUGUCGACUUAAAAAAUAUAACAUUAUUCGAAUGUGUUCGAAAAUAAAAUUAAGUAUAUGAAGGAAUUUUCAUACGAUAAACAAUGGAACAAUGUUACAAUUUUUCUAAGUCGACACAAAUAAUAAUUUUGAAUGUAUUCGAAAUAGUGAACUAUUCGGUAUUGGCCAUCCCUGCCUGUAAAUGCUAGUUCUGUGAAUUUGAAUAUGUACCAGUCAUAGUUAUUAUUACUUGAAUAUGUAGUGACAGUUUAUUUAUCUGCUGAACAGAGUUUAGUGAACAUUAAAAUUAAUUUGUUAGGCUCUAUAGUUGGUGGUUAAUCUUCUACUACAUGCAAUAUCACUUUGGGUUGUUUUGUACAAAUUCUUAGGCAUUUGAUGUACUGGUACCCAUUGAAGUCAUCUCACUGAAUAGAACUCUAGCAUAUGCUUCUGAAAGUCAUGAGUGAAUUUUUGGUCUUAGGGCGAAUCUCGUAAAAUUUGUUUGUGUUCCGAUUUUCUCGAAAAAUUAGUACCUCUUUACACAUUAAUAUCAGUGCAUGCAGAAUCCACUUUGACUAGUCAGUAGUUCUCAACCUUUGUCCCCAGCUAGAGUUUAUUUUCACUUUGUUGAACAUGAAUUGUUUGAACACAAUGCGAUUUGGAAUUUACCAACCAGAUGUACUUACUUUUGUCUAAAGAUUCCAUUGAGUGAGAUUUUUUUAUAAAAAAGAGGAUAUUUACUUGAAUUAAAGUUAGUGUCAUUUUGAAUAGUGUCCAAACAAAAUAAACGUUAUUAAAGUAAAUUUGCCUUAUCAAACGAGAGAGCAAUGUUCAAAUAUAUGGACAUCGUUAGCAGUACAGUUAGACCUGAGAGCACAGAGUUUGCUGAAAAGUUCAGUGAACAAUGAAUAUGGAUGCAGUUUUCACAUUAAAUUAAUCAAUUCCUAUGGUAAAAUUUAGGUGUCUGAAUUGGAUAAAAUACAUGCUUUCUAGCAAACUCUUUCAUCCAGGUGCUGAAAUUUUGGUUCAUUCGAAUGGUUUUGAGUCCUAAGGCAAACAAUUUUACAGUCUCAGAAGCUCAAUUCCACUUAUUAGUAAUAAUCUGUUACCAUCUGGACUUUAAAAACAAUGACGACCUGAAGUGUCACGAAUUGGGUCAUUUUCAGAGCACUGCUUCAAUUCCAGUGACACCUCCCAUUUGAAAAAAUACGUGCUACGAUGCUGGUUUAGUUAAACAAGUCAUUUACCGGUAAUCAUUAAAAUUGAUAAAAGAAAGAUAAAAAUGGAUUUACUGAUAUUAUACUAACGGAAUAUUAACUUGCGUUACCUGGCAAGAAUAGCGGCUUCUUUAUUAGUAUUAUGUAUAUUAUGUGUUAGUAUGAUGUUCGAAACUGUAAAAAUGUAAAAUUUCAUAUCAUUUGUGACCUGAUUUUCUGUGAUAAAGUCGGUGUUAACCCAGCUCCUGAUUCGAUUUGUCUGAUCCAAUGAUGGUAUUGUAGGAUGGAUGAUUUUAUUGGGCCGAAUUUCUUUUUUUUUACUCAAUACGAGUCGGAAGAUCUUCUAGAAUCUUACGACUCGCUGUGGAUGAAGUCAACAACUGAAUGUUAUAUGAGCAGCAAUUAAUUGACAUACAUUUAAAUUUUCGGUACAGAAUUAGGCGCAGGUUUCGAAGUGAAAAAAUAAAACGUUUUUGUAAGCAUGGAGGGCUGAUUUCAGAUUAGAGAUACACAAGCUUGCACAAUACUUGUGAGUUGUGCCAGAGCGUUCUACUAGCAAAGUAUUUUGCCUUGCUAUUGGAAAUACUUACUUAUAAAUCCGGUGUCGAUCCAUGUGCGAAUCGUAAUCG